AUGCUUUUGGAUAUGAAGAAAAUUCCAGGGUAUUGGAGAGGGAAGUUAGUGAUUCAUGGUGAUAUGAAGUGGGGUCAAUUGAAGGGACUGUUUUGGAGCAUGAAGCAGGAUGGACAAGACAGUAGCAGGGUGCAAGGUUUUGGACAACAAGCUUGGAGAAAUUUCAAAGAUGUGAGAACAAGCUUUGGCAAUUGUUUUAGUCAAUAA